GCUGGGACUGGUGGCUCAUGCCUGUAGUCCCAGCUACUUGAAAGGCUGAUGCAGGAGGACUACUUGCGCCCAGGAAUUUUGGGCUGUAACUUGCAAUGCUGAUUGGGUGUUUGCACUAAGUUCAGCAUCAACACGGUAACCUCCCAGGUGUGGAGGACAACCAGGUUGCCUGGGGAGGGGUGAACUGGCUCAGUUUGUGAAUGGAGUGGGUCAAAACUCUUGUGCUGAUCAGUAGUGGGAUUGUGCCUGUGAAUAGCCACUGCACUGUAGCCUGGGAAGCUCAACAAAAGACUGACAGGUCUAUU
rfam:Gorilla gorilla gorilla genomic chromosome, chr13, whole genome shotgun sequence